AUAUGGUAUAGGUUUUCCUCAUUGUGAAAUGUUGUACAUUGGACUAUAAAAAUUGUUUUAUAAAUACACCCAUUUCAUUUAAACUUAGGUGGAAAGUUGUCUCACUGGCCAUCACACCACAUCUACAAAGCUUUAGAUGUAAAAAAAAACUAAAAUAAAGCAAUUGGAAUGCCAUGUAAAUCAUUCGGCAAACUAAGUUCAACGAGUUCCUAUGUCUGCUUUCGUCUAGGCGAAUUUGGACAAACAUCGGUAUUUGGAAGAGCCUUAAAUUGUGAAAAGUAAGUCAUUAAAGUUU
rnacentral:lncRNA from 1 species